ensembl:lncRNA
UCUGGGUCAGUGAGAACUGCUGGUCUGGGUCAGUGAGAACUGCUGGUCUGGGUCAGUGAGAACUGCUGGUCUGGGUCAGUGAGGACUGCUGGUCUGGGUCAGUGAGGACUGCUGGUCUGGGUCAGUGAGGACUGCUGGUCUGGGUCAGUGAGGACUGCUGGUCUGGGUCAGUGAGGACUGCUGGUCUGGGUCAGUGAGGACUGCUGGUCUGGGUCAGGGAGGACUGCUGGUCUGGGUCAGGGAGGACUGCUGGUCUGGGUCAGUGAGGACUGCUGGGUCACUGCAUCUGUAGUGUGGCCCGUACUGGAGCACUGCAUCUGUAGUGUGGCCCGUACUGGAGCACUGCUGAAGGUCAUAUGGAAGAAUGAACUAUGAAGCCUUUGUCCAAUAUGGCACCCUAAUCCCUAGAUAGUGCACUGCUUCGGGCCUGGCAACGUCCCAACGUCUCAUUGGUUCCACUCCUGGCAACGUCCCAACGUCUCAUUGGUUCCACUCCUGGCAACGUUCCAACGUCUCAUUGGUUCCACUCCUGGCAACGUCCCAACGUCUCAUUGGUUCCACUCCUGGCAACGUCCCAACGUCUCAUUGGUUCCACUCCUGGCAGCGUCCCAACGUCUCAUUGGUUCCACUCCUGGCAGCGUCCCAACGUCUCAUUGGUUCCACUCCUGGCAACGUCCCAACGUCUCAUUCAUAUAUCCCAUCCUCUGGGGGUCUGCAUGGAUCAGACUACAGCUCUAUAUCCUAUCCUCUGGGGGUCUGUGUAGAGCAGACUACAACUCUAUAUCCUACCCUCUGGGGGUCUGCAUGGAGCAGACUACAACUCUAUAUCCUACCCUCUGGGGGUCUGCAUGGAGCUAGCAGACGACAACUCUAUAUCCUAUCCUCUGGGGGUCUGUGUAGAGCAGACUACAGCUCUAUGUCCUAUCCUCUGGGGGUCUGCGUAGAGCUAGCAGACUACAGCUCUAUAUCCUCUGGGGGUCUGCAUGGAGCAGACUACAGCUCUAUAUCCUAUCCUCUGGGGGUCUGCAUAGAGCUAGCAGACUACAGCUCUAUAUCCUAUCCUCUGGGGGUCUGUGUAGAGCAGACUACAGCUCUAUAUCCUAUCCUCUGGGGUCUGCGUAGAGCAGACUACAGCUCUAUAUCCUAUCCUCUGGAGGUCUGCGUAGAGCUAGCAGACUAGAAACAUUUGACUGAAUUUGAUGCCCAGUACAACUUGAAGAGAGUUGGCAUGGCUGAUGUCAUGUGACAGGGUUUACAUGGGGUUUUGGUCCGUGGACCUACUGAUGAACUCAGAGUAACCUCAGUGCUGGGCCAGGAGGAGGUUUUCCACCAUCAACUUGUUCCCUACUUUGGUUUUCUAUUAGAAAUGGCACACGCUUUAAAAAAAAGCACAUGGUUUAUAUUUUAUGUUAUUGUGAUUUUAAAUGAACUUGAUAAAAUAAAGAUUUGUCAAACAUUUUGCUCGCUUUUUAUGUUUUUGCGAUGUAGCUGUUAAAUAACUGGACAGAGAUGUCUGUUUCUAUUUUAUAUGUAUUCUGAGACUUUUAGCUAAAACUUCAAACAAAAUGCAGAGACUCCUUCUGAUUGGUCCCUUACAGGACCAAGUGCUUCUGAUUGGUCCCUACAUGUCAGUUAGCAGACUCUUAUCCAGAGCCCCUUACAGGACCUAGUGCUUCUGAUUGGUCCCUACAUGUCAGUUAGCAGACUCUUAUCCAGAGCCCCUUACAGGACCAAGUGCUUCUGAUUGGUCCCUACAUGUCAGUUAGCAGACUCUUAUCCAGAGCCACUUACAGGACCAAGUGCUUCUGAUUGGUCCCUACAUGUCAGUUAGCAGACUCUUAUCCAGAGCCCCUUACAGGACCAAGUGCUUCUGAUUGGUCCCUACAUGUCAGUUAGCAGACUCUUAUCCAGAGCCACUUACAGGACCAAGUGCUUCUGAUUGGUCCCUACAUGUCAGUUAGCAGACUCUUAUCCAGAGCCACUUACAGGACCAAGUGCUUCUGAUUGGUCCCUACAUGUCAGUUAGCAGACUCUUAUCCAGAGCCACUUACAGGACCAAGUGCUUCUGAUUGGUCCCUACAUGUCAGUUAGCAGACUCUUAUCCAGAGCCCCUUACAGGACCAAGUGCUUCUGAUUGGUCCCUACAUGUCAGUUAGCAGACUCUUAUCCAGAGCCACUUACAGGACCAAGUGCUUCUGAUUGGUCCCUACAUGUCAGUUAGCAGACUCUUAUCCAGAGCCACUUACAGGACCAAGUGCUUCUGAUUGGUCCCUACAUGUCAGUUAGCAGACUCUUAUCCAGAGCCCCUUACAGGACCAAGUGCUUCUGAUUGGUCCUUUACAGGACCAAGUGCUUCUGAUUGGUCCCUACAUGUCAGUUAGCAGACUCUUAUCCAGAGCCCCUUACAGGACCAAGUGCUUCUGAUUGGUCCCUACAUGUCAGUUAGCAGACUCUUAUCCAGAGCCCCUUACAGGACCAAGUGCUUCUGAUUGGUCCCUACAUGUCAGUUAGCAGACUCUUAUCCAGAGCCACUUACAGGACCAAGUGCUUCUGAUUGGUCCCUACAUGUCAGUUAGCAGACUCUUAUCCAGAGCCACUUACAGGACCAAGUGCUUCUGAUUGGUCCCUACAUGUCAGUUAGCAGACUCUUAUCCAGAGCCCCUUACAGGACCAAGUGCUUCUGAUUGGUCCCUACAUGUCAGUUAGCAGACUCUUAUCCAGAGCCACUUACAGGACCAAGUGCUUCUGAUUGGUCCCUACAUGUCUGGCAGUUAGCAGACUCUUAUCCAGAGCCACUUACAGGACCAAGUGCUUCUGAUUGGUCCCUACAUGUCAGUUAGCAGACUCUUAUCCAGAGCCACUUACAGGACCAAGUGCUUCUGAUUGGUCCCUACAUGUCUGGCAGUUAGCAGACUCUUAUCCAGAGCCACUUACAGGACCAAGUGCUUCUGAUUGGUCCCUUUCAGACUAUUUAUGUGAACUCAUUGUGGUUUGCUUGUUUUUUUUUUGGUGCAGUCUGAACACUCCGAAGGAACUCCGACCCCUCAAACCCCCAAAGUGAACCCAACUGAGACCAUCUCAAGAGGGGGUCUGAGUUUGGUUUGCUUGAAUUCCGCGUUCAGGUUCCCUUUUUAGGACAAUGUGAACACAAAGCUCCCCAGGUUCCCCCACACUACUGCAGCACACUAAACUACAGCCGCGACCCCUCGCUGGAGACCAACGGCCGCGACCCCUCGCUGGAGACCAACGGCCGCGACCCCUCGCUGGAGACCAACGGCCGCGACCCCUCGCUGGAGACCAACGGCCGCGACCCCUCGCUGGAGACCAACGGCCGCGAUAGAGAGAUAUGCAGAUAAAAAUGUGUUUUUUGAUUAGCGGUUGUCAAGGAUGUACAGAAAUUCAAAUAUGUGGGGAGUUUUUGGUUCAGAUGAUGUUUGUAAUUUGUGAUCUAAAGGCAGAGAGAGCUUCGUACACUGUUUAUUCCAUUGUGAGAAGACAUAUUUGGUGAGAAUCACACCACGGAGGUACGGCAUCAGUCCCAGAUCUUAUUAAAGGGCCAGUAGCCCACAUCGGGUGGACACUUGACAAAUAUACACUUAUUAUUCUGCUAUUUAUUCUGUUAAUAUUAUUUACAUGUUAAUAAUAGUAUCUUCUGAUUAGUGAUUGCUUUUUAGUUCAAAGAGGAGACAUUCUAUUAGCUUCCAAAAUGUAAGUAGGUAUUAUAAACUCAGCAAAAAAAAGAAACUGUCAACUGUGUUUAUUUUCAGCAAACUUAACAUGUGUAAAUAUUUGUAUGAAUAUGAGAUUCAACAACUGAGACAUUAACUGAACAAGGUCCACAGACAUGUGACUAACAGCAAUUGAAUAGUGUGUCCCAGAACAAAGAGGGGGGUCAAAAUCAAAAGUAACAGUCAGUAUCUGGUGUGGCCACCAGCUGCAUUAAGUACUGCAGUGCAUCUCCUCCUCAGGGACUGCACCGGAUUUGCCAGUUCUUGCUGUGAGAUGUUACCCUGCUCUUCAAGGCACCUGCAAGUUCCCGGACAUUUCUGGGAGGAAUGGCCCUAGUUCUCAC